rnacentral:rRNA from 1 species
AUGCAGUCGAGCGGUUUGUAGUGCUUGCACUAUAGAUAGCGGCGAACGGGUGAGUAAUGCCUAGGAAUCUGCCUGAUAGUGGGGGAUAACGUUCGGAAACGAACGCUAAUACCGCAUACGUCCUACGGGAGAAAGGGGGCUUUAUUGCUCUCGCUAACAGAUGAGCCUAGGUCAGAUUAGCUAGUUGGUGAGGUAAAGGCUCACCAAGGCGACGAUCUGUAGCGGGUCUGAGAGGAUGAUCCGCCACACUGGAACUGAGACACGGUCCAGACUCCUACGGGAGGCAGCAGUGGGGAAUAUUGGACAAUGGGCGAAAGCCUGAUCCAGCCAUGCCGCGUGUGUGAAGAAGGCCUUUUGGUUGUAAAGCACUUUAAGCGGGGAGGGGGGCACCACGGUUAAUACCCGUGAAUGUCGGACGUUACCCGCAGAAUAAGCACCGGCUAACUCUGUGCCAGCAGCCGCGGUAAUACAGAGGGUGCGAGCGUUAAUCGGAAUUACUGGGCGUAAAGCGCGCGUAGGCGGCUUGUUAAGUCAAAUGUGAAAUCCCCGAGCUUAACUUGGGCAUUGCAUUCGAUACUGGCAAGCUAGAGUAUGGGAGAGGAAGGUAGAAUUCCAGGUGUAGCGGUGAAAUGCGUAGAGAUCUGGAGGAAUACCGAUGGCGAAGGCAGCCUUCUGGCCUAAUACUGACGCUGAGGUGCGAAAGCAUGGGGAGCAAACAGGAUUAGA